rnacentral:rRNA from 1 species
GACGAACGCUGGCGGCGUGCCUAAUACAUGCAAGUUGAGCGAUGAAGAUUGGUGCUUGCCCCAAUUUGAAGAGCAGCGAACGGGUGAGUAACGCGUGGGGAAUCUGCCUUUGAGCGGGGGACAACAUUUGGAAACGAAUGCUAAUACCGCAUAACAACUUUAAACAUAAGUUUUAAGUUUGAAAGAUGCAAUUGCAUCACUCAAAGAUGAUCCCGCGUUGUAUUAGCUAGUUGGUGAGGUAAAGGCUCACCAAGGCGAUGAUACAUAGCCGACCUGAGAGGGUGAUCGGCCACAUUGGGACUGAGACACGGCCCAAACUCCUACGGGAGGCAGCAGUAGGGAAUCUUCGGCAAUGGACGAAAGUCUGACCGAGCAACGCCGCGUGAGUGAAGAAGGUUUUCGGAUCGUAAAACUCUGUUGGUAGAGAAGGACGUUGGUGAGAGUGGAAAGCUCAUCAAGUGACGGUAACUACCCAGAAAGGGACGGCUAACUACGUG